AGUCCAGAGGGAUUUGAAAUUCAAAACAGAAAAAGACAUCUAAGCGCAGGUGAGGAGGUCGAUGUGAAGAAACAAAGGAGCAGGUAAGGAGCUGAUGGGCCGAGGGGAAUGCUGGGAACCGGGCCGGGCUAACGAGGCUGAUUCGGAUCAGACUAAACGUCAGAGUCAUCACCUGGAACCAGUCAGCGUCUGGUGAGGAACCACUGCCAGCUAUGGACGGGGUUGACGUUCGGCGACCAGUGAGAGAAGCAGCUGUUCGUUUGAAAGAGGUUGGAACAGAAACUGCUAUAACAUCAGUUAUAUCUGAACUGGGGAGCAGAUUUCAUUGACUAAAGAGCAAAGAACUGCAUGGAAGGCUUUUCU